GACAAACUGUAGUUAAAUGUUUCCUUUCCACUAGUCUGACAGAAGACAUGUUUUGGAAGCUAAAUAGCCCAAAAACCUCUAAUAUUGAAAAAGAAGAAUAAGUUUUUGCCUGUAGUGUCU